rnacentral:lncRNA from 1 species
GUAAAAAUAUACAUUUUAUAAACUUAAAAUACCACAAAGGAAAGAAAAUGAGCCCAAUUUUAUGAUUUUAUUGUCAUGAAAACUGAAAAAAAAAAGAAAGAGAACUCCAGAGCUGGUGCAGAAAGUGGCAAGAAGGAUGGGAUAAGGGGGUUCUCACUGAAGGGGAGGAUUUUUAGGGGGAUUCAUAACAAUGAUUUUUUUUUCUGUAAUACAUUUGUAAAAAUUUAAACAUUUACCAGAUUUUUAUUUUUAUUUUUUGGGACACAGGGUAUCGCCAUAUAGCCCUGGUUGUCCUUGAACUCAUGGGGAUCCUCCUGCCUCAGCCUCCAGGGUGCUGAGAUUACAGGUGUGUGCCAUUACACCUGGCUCCCAGCUAAAAAUAUUAACUUGGUUUUUGUUCUUGAUUCAUUUUCGUCUUUUUGAGACAGAAUCUUGCUCUGUAGUUCAGGCUGGCCUUGAACUUGGUAUAUAGCUCAGGCUAUAAUCUCUGCUCUACAUUGAGUACUGUGAGCCUGACUAUCCACUCAACUGGCCAGGAGAUCAGUCCAUCAGCUAUGCCCUAGUCAAGGAGACACAAGCCAGACGCCUUGCUAAGGACAGUGUUUCCCUCCUGGUCCUCAGCAGGGCUUCUCCACCCGCUUCACACCACACCUAAGGGACCAUCACAUCUGUGCUGGGUGUAGUGGUCCACACCUAGAACCCAUAUUCUGGGAGGCUGAGGCAGGAGGAUUGGAAAUUUGAUCCCAGCCUGCACAGUUUGGCAACGUAGCAAAACCCGAUCUCAAAAUAAAAAAGGCCGAGGUUGCAGUCCCGCGUGGAGUCUCUGGGUUCCAUCCGGUUGCCUGGAGCCAGGGUGCGCCCCGCUCCUACCCUGCAGGCAAAGGACCGCAGCCGGGUUAGGGGGCCAGGGCGAGGCACCCAGGAGUAAGAAAGGCGGAACUAAAGAAGUUCACGCUCAGGGACUGGGCUCAGGCGCUCUCCGCCGCGUCCACAAGACGACGCUCGGGGUGGAGUGCACGUUCCCGCGGUCUCUGGGGCCACCCACGUGUGGGAGGGGGGCGGGCGAGGUUGGGGCGGGAGCCAUCUGCGCAUGUGUGAAACCGGAACAUCCGGCCGCCCCUGGUAGGGCGGCGCCUGAAGGGGCGCGGCCUGAGCGAAGGGGCAGGCGCAGCGCGCAGGCGCACAUCUGGCCUAGUCUGUCGGAUCUUUGCCGCUUCGAGAAGCUCCGGGCCUCUGCCGAGCAUGAAAUACCUGCAUCUGCAAACCACACCCUGAGCUCUUAA